UAUAAAGUAUCUGCCCCAGGAGGUGGAAUUUAGAUAAACCUGCCAGCAUGGUUGAGAUAAAAUUUAUAAAAUGUUUUGAACCUAUAAAGCACUGUAAAAUGUUGGCCUCAAAAUGGGAUGCAUGUGGUACAACCCAUUUGGAGAGUCAUUUUAAAGGCCCCAGAGUGUGCAUCUAAUUUGCCUGAGUCAUUUCAUCUUAAAAAUUAUAUCCAUAAAAAAGAAUUCCAAAGAAGCAAAAAGUUGUAUGUAGACAAUUUUUUAAUGCAGCACUGCCUAAAAUCACUAAAAUUUCUCAACUCAGUGGAAUACUUUAUACCCAUUAAAAUGGGUAUAAAUAUGAAAUAUUUGUGUUAAAAUGUUAUAUAACAAAACCAUGAUACGGAAUUAAACCUACCCUAUCAUGACAAAUUUGUAAAUUGUAUCUGUGCUGGGAGUGAGUGCAGAAAAGCUGAUAUAUGAUGGAAGUGGGACUGCAUGUUGCUUUUUCUUGUUUUCUUUAAUAUUUUCAUAAUACUCUUUGUAUGUUAAUACAAUCAGGAGGAAAAAAAAAAAACAAAUACAGUGGCUUUGUAGGCUUGGCUCAACUGUCAGGGACUGAACAGAGUCAUAUAUCUUAGGACAUAUCUGAUCUACUCCCCACAAAUGGCGAAAGGUUUAGCCCUUUGAUAUUUGUGUCUAUCCCUUCCCUCUAAAAGCAAAAAUAUCAGAUAAAAGAAUUUGUGGUUCUUUUCCUUCUGUUCUUUUCAUGUGAAGGAAGUAUCACUUCCCUUCUGUCCUAUUCCAGAAAUUAGUAAUCUUAUCUCAGUCCUGCUCAGGUCAGGUCCUGAACCACUUCUUCUUUCAAGGAUGAGAAACAGGAAGAAGUAUUUCAGGGGCAGUGGUAGUGCAUGUUUGUCUCUGCCCUGCAAGUGACCUCUGCCAACCAUGUUUUAGUGUGAUCUUGGGGAGGAAUACCUAAGACUCCCACAAAGCAUAUGGUGUGACUGUUUCUUUCUCCUGCCCGAAGUUUGGAUCUCUGUUUGGACAACUGAGGGAGCAUGUGGAACCAUCUAGAAUGCUUCUGAGAGAGCAACAGGCAGCUUUGAGGCCAAUAUACCCUUUAUGUAUCAUUGGGGAUGUGCUAGCCAUAUCAUUGGUCAACCCAAGCACAGUGGGUAGAAUAAUUAUAGCUAAUGUUGACUGAAUAUUCACUACACGCACUUUGACAUCUACUAAUCUCAUUUAAUCAUCACAACAACUCCAAGAGGUAAGUACUAUUAUUGCCAUCAUUUUCCAGAUGAGGACAAGGAGGUCCAGAGAAUAACUUGCUUAAUUAAGGUCAAACAUGUAUAGAGAUAGGAUUUUAACCCCAUUAGUCUGGCUUCAGACACUAAAGGCUUAAUCAGAUUGCUAAGAAUGACAUUCAGGUGGAACUUUUCUCAGCAAUAAGUGUAAUGGAAAAACAAUAUUAUGUUAUUUGUACUUCCCAGAACCUUCUCAGAAGGGUAGAUCCUGUGUGGCCAGUUCCUUUGAAUGUGGCGGAUCAAGCAAAUUGGAGAGGUUUAGACAGAGGAUAAGAACCACGUGGAAAUUUAGUUUUGCCAUCUAGAGAGAGAGCACACAAACAGGUGGAGCAGCAGAGGGAGAGGGAGAAGCAGACUCCCUGUUGAGCAAGGACUCCAUUGCAGGGCUCCAUCCCAGGACCCUGGGAUCAUGAUCUGAGCUGAAGGCAGAUGCUUAACCAACUGAGCCACCCAGGCGCCCCACUUCCAGGUACAGGAGACAAUUCCACUUCCGUGCCUAGAUUUCUGAGAUAACACAUGGAAGAUAACUUCUUGGGAGAGUUUCUCUUUCCUGUAGUAAAUUUUGGACAAAUAAGAAAUAAACUUCUAUUAUAUUAGGCACUGAGAUUUUGGUAUUGUUUGUUACUGCAGCAAAACCUGUUAUUGAUACAGAAAUCCAUAGUCUGGAUGGAAAAUCCAUCUGAAUUUCUAGUUUUUUAAAUUGUUAAUUAGGAUGCUGAUUUGAGAUCUUCCUUUUAUUUUAAUGUGUUUAUGACUAUAAAUUUUCCCUUAGCACUGCUUUCACUGCAUCCCAUUUUAAGUUUUGAUAUGUUGUGGUUUUGCUUCAUUCAUCUCUAAAUAUUUUAAAAUUUCCCUUGUAACUUCUUCUUUGGCCCAUUAGUUCUUUAAGAAUAUGUUGCUUAGGGGUGCCUGGGUGGUUCAGUUGGUUAAGUGUCUGCCUUUGGCUCAGGUCAUGAUCCCAGGGUUGUCGGAUCUAGCCCUAC